CCUACGGGUGGCAGCAGUGAGGAAUAUUGGUCAAUGGACGCAAGUCUGAACCAGCCAUGCCGCGUGCAGGAAGACGGCUCUAUGAGUUGUAAACUGCUUUUGUACGAGGGUAAACGCAGAUACGCGUAUCUGUCUGAAAGUAUCGUACGAAUAAGGACCGGCUAACUCCGUGCCAGCAGCCGCGGUAAUACGGAGGAUUCAAGCGUUAUCCGGAUUUAUUGGGUUUAAAGGGUGCGUAGGCGGCCGGUUAAGUUAGAGGUGAAAUCCCGAGGCUCAACUUCGGAAUUGCCGCUGAUACUGUGCGGCUAGAGAGUAGUUGCGGUAGGCGGAAUGUAUGGUGUAGCGGUGAAAGGCUUAGAGAUCAGGCAGAACACCGAUUGCGAAGGCAGCUUACCGAGCUGCUUCUGACGUUGAGGCACGAAAGCGUGGGGAGCAAACAGGAUUAGAUACCCGGGUAGUC
rnacentral:rRNA from 1 species